rnacentral:lncRNA from 1 species
CUUUGAAAUCUGCUACCCGCUGGGUAGAUCAAGAAUAUUUGCAAAUCAGAUUGUGUUGUCUACCUGUGGUUGGUUAGCCCUUCCUGCCCUCUCCUAUGCAUGAAUCCCAAACAUCAGCGAGAGAUUGCAGUUCUGUUACACGGGGCAAGCGGGAGAGGAGAGCUGCUGGCCAUUGAUGGAUGGACUGGAAGAGACGGGAACAGUUGGCACAAUGAAGAUGACAGUCCCAGGCUAAGACUAUUGUACAAAGCUUCAGAAGUCCUGAGGAUACACUGACGGGGAGUUUACAUCUGAAAAUGGAUAGAAUCCCUGCAACUUGUUCCUUCCCAAUUCUUCCUUUCUCAGCAUCCCUCUUUUUCAUCUUGUGCCUGGAAUUGAACAAACCAAAUCCAAAGAGGUUUUUGGAACAUUCCUAAAUCAGGGAUACUGUGAAGACAAAUGGUAAAUGUCUGUUACCCCAGCUGCUAAGUUAAUUACUGUAAUGGGAAACAUCUUGAGAGAAGCAUUGCAUAUGGUUAUUAGCAAUUAACCCACCACUCCAAAAAUCACAAUUCCUGCUAAUAACAGAACACAGCGCAGCCUUUCUAAUUACAAUCUCUGCACGAGAAUUUCUUUCUAUCAGAAGGGAAUGUUAAAUCCUCUAACUAGCUACGAUUUAAAAAGACUUGGAGAUACUGAGAAUUAGACAGAAAAAUGAAAAUGCGGACGGGUGGUGUGUCACUGACUCAGAGUUGUAGACAUGCUCAUUCAUAUGUGGAGACACACAGCAACUUUCACAACAUGUUGUGGGAAGACAAAAUCAUCAAUGAUUGUUCAUGGGGAGGGAAAUAUGCUUUAAAAUGAAGAGGAUAGUAUGAGACUUCACGAGAGAUGCCAACUUCUCUACAGAAUUUGUGAUCUCAGUGGUGUUGUAAACAAUAUGCUGAGUUUGGUAGUGCAUAGCAAAGGAUCGCUCUGGAAACGGUAAGAAUUUUCUGGUCAAUCAAAGAGGAGAACAAUGCAAACUACGUAUUUUCCAUCCUGCAGAAAGUCCGUCAGUACUACACGGAGGGCACGAGGUGUUCUUUUUCUGACAGUCUGUAUUCUGUGCAAUUGGCUUAGAUUAUAGCUCACCUGCACAAAGUCACCAAGGGGAAUCGACACUUUAGCUGCUCAGUUCAAAAGCUGGUUUAGCAGAGCAAGAUGGGAUUUAAUUUAUUCCUUUCACCAGGCAGGAAGAGAAAUCUUUUGUCAACAUGUUCAGUGCUCAGUUUGGUGGUGGGCAUGAUACAGUUUGUAGGUAUCAAGAUCAAAGAUAUGCAAUUGUAUGGCAAAUAAGUUUCAUGACAGUAACCGUGUCUGGUUGGUCACGGCAGGGACGUGUAAUAUAAAGGAGUCACUAAUGCUGUAUCCACUGCCAUUUUGUUCCUGACAUUUCCUGCUGCUACCACUGUAAGAACUAGAAUAAAUGAGUCUGCUUUUACCUCCGUAUUGUCUGU